CAUACAGAUUAGGAAACAAGGGCUUAAACACAUUGGGCUAGGGAAAAGUCAUGCAUUUUUCCAUAGAAAAACAUGUCACGACUUUUUGGACAACCCGAUAGUAGAUCCAGAAUUAGGGGCUGCUUUGCUAGAGCUCUCCAGGCCACCAGGAUUUUGAGCACAUGCCCGGAGUGUUUUCAAGUCAACCAGAUCAAGGACUUGAGCUGUGGCUCAAGUCAAGAUGUGUCAAGAUGUGGCUUCCAGUUCUGUAGCCCAGUAUGCUAUCAGCUGCACCGUUGAAGGUGGGACACCUCAGCUUUCUUUCACAUGUAAUGAUAAGAAAGUUGAGGCCAUGGACAGCGAAGUGGUAGGACUGGACAAGAACCCUUUCCUUGCAGUGUGGGCCACCUGCCAUUCGUCCUGAGGGUGUAGGAAGAGAGUGUGCCUUCUAAGCCUGUGUGCUCCCUGGUGGAGAGUCCUGGAGUUGGGACAGGGUGGCUGUGUCCAGGCCAGGCUGUUCUUCCCAACCUUGGAAUAGUAGAAUGGUCAUGGUCAUGACCCCUCACU